UUCUUCAGUGUCGAAAUUGGUAUGGAGACGUGGAUGGAGAUUUGAGUCUUAGGAAUUUGGGAAGAGCUCAAGUGAUUCAGAAUGAAAAGACCUUGGCACAGACCUGUUAAGGAAGCUCCAUAUAAGGUGAAGAAAACAACAUGCUCAGCCAUGUCCUUGCCUUCUGCACACGGUAGUGCAUUCACUGCCUGAGAAUUCAAGGCUAAAACAAAAAGAGGAGCUUUUGUUCCAACAGAUAAGUACUUACCUUUUUCAAAAAAUGCAUAAGCUGUCCUGGGUGUUUAGCAGUUAUUCGCACAGCUUUCCAAAGACUCACAGCAUUUAAAAGCUAACUCUACAGAGAUUCAACAGCUUCUUCCAGAUCCCACCACAGUGGAAAAGAACUCCGGUGUCCUGGCUCCCUGUCCAGCUCUUCUCUCUCCCCUUCCAGCUGCCAGUUCAGCUUUAAGAAGUUCAUUCUCCACAUUCAGAUGCAGGCAAAUGCGUUUGACUUGAGCAUAUUGAUUUCAGGCAGGUGAGAGUGGAUGUAGCGAUUCAGC
rnacentral:lncRNA from 1 species